rnacentral:rRNA from 1 species
GUGCCAGCCGCCGCGGUAAGACAGAGGGUGCAAACGUUGCUCGGAAUUACUGGGCGUAAAGCGCGUGUAGGCGGUGCCGCACGUCCGAUGUGAAAGCCCGGGGCUCAACCCCGGACGUGCAUUGGAUACGACGGCGCUGGAGUCCUGAAGAGGAGGGCGGAAUUCCCGGUGUAGAGGUGAAAUUCGUAGAUAUCGGGAGGAACACCAGUGGCGAAGGCGGCUCUCUGGACAGGUACUGACGCUGAGACGCGAAAGCGUGGGUAGCAAACAGGAUUAGAAACCCCCGUAGUCC